GUCAAGGCAAAACCAUUUACAUCAAACCAUUUACAUCAUCUUAUGAGCUAUUUUGCCAACAAUUCACAAAUCUUGCAACUAACACAACCAGAGAUUACUGAACCGUUUGGGAAUCAUCGCACUAAGCUACCGUCGUGGUUGGAAACAGUAAAACCAUAUCUAAUGAAUACUUUACGGAUGCCCGCUGCACAUUUGCUCAUAGCAUUGAUACGAAUUCCACAUUUUCCAAGAUAAUUUGUGAUUCAUGGCUAUAUUUGGACUUCCCCCAACCAGAAUCUGGCCAAAGUCUGCUGUACAAAGCAUCGAAUUUACGUCGAACAUGGAAUAAAUUGCUAGCAAACCAAUUAGAAUCGUUGACCAAAAGCGUCGA